UCUUAUCAAGAGCGGCUGAGGGAACAGGACCGAAGAUGCCCGGCAACCUGUCUGAACAAAAUUCGGACAAGGUGCUACUUCCUGCAUGAUAUUCACGUUUUUGCAAAGCACGGCGCGGUUAUCAUGAAAGAUGA
rnacentral:ncRNA from 1 species